CUACGGGAGGCACCAGUCGAGAAUCUUCCGCAAUGGGCGAAAGCCUGACGGAGCAAUGCCGCGUGAGGGACGACGGCCUUCGGGUUGUAAACCUCUGUCACCCGGGACGAAUCAAUGACGGUACCGGGAGAGGAAGCCACGGCUAACUACGUGCCAGCAGCCGCGGUAAUACGUAGGUGGCGAGCGUUAUUCGGAUUUACUGGGCGUAAAGGGUCCGCAGGGGGUUUGCCAAGUCUGAUGUGAAAUCUCCCGGCUCAACCGGGAACCUGCAUUGGAAACUGGCGAACUUGAGUACAUGAUGGGAGAGCGGAAUUCCUGGUGUAGCGGUGGAAUGCGUAGAUAUCAGGAAGAACACCGAUGGCGAAGGCGGCUCUCUGGCCAGGUACUGACGCUGAGGUGCGAAAGCGUGGGGAGCAAACAGGAUUAGAUACCCCUGUAGUC
rnacentral:rRNA from 1 species